rnacentral:rRNA from 1 species
GACGAGGGGGGCUAGCGUUGUUCGGAAUUACUGGGCGUAAAGCGCGUGUAGGCGGUUGUUCAAGUCAGGUGUGAAAGCCUUGAGCUCAACUCAAGAAAUGCACUUGAUACUGGAUGACUAGAGGACCGGAGAGGAUAGUGGAAUUCCCAGUGUAGUGGUGAAAUACGUAGAGAUUGGGAAGAACACCAGUGGCGAAGGCGGCUAUCUGGACGGUUUCUGACGCUAAGACGCGAAAGCGUGGGGAGCAAACAGG